rnacentral:rRNA from 1 species
GAUGAACGCUGGCGGCGUGCCUAAUACAUGCAAGUCGAGCGAAUGGAUUAAGAGCUUGCUCUUAUGAAGUUAGCGGCGGACGGGUGAGUAACACGUGGGUAACCUGCCCAUAAGACUGGGAUAACUCCGGGAAACCGGGGCUAAUACCGGAUAACAUUUUGAACCGCAUGGUUCGAAAUUGAAAGGCGGCUUCGGAUGUCACUUAUGGAUGGACCCGCGUCGCAUUAGCUAGUUGGUGAGGUAACGGCUCACCAAGGCAACGAUGCGUAGCCGACCGGAGAGGGUGAUCGGCCACACUGGGACUGAGACACGGCCCAGACUCCUACGGGAGGCAGCAGUAGGGAAUCUUCCGCAAUGGACGAAAGUCUGACGGAGCAACGCCGCGUGAGUGAUGAAGGCUUUCGGGUCGUAAAACUCUGUUGUUAGGGAAGAACAAGUGCUAGUUGAAUAAGCUGACACCUUGACGGUACCUAACCAGAAAGCCACGGCUAACUACGUGCCAGCAGCCGCGGUAA